UACGAAGGGGGCUAGCGUUGCUCGGAAUCACUGGGCGUAAAGCGCACGUAGGCGGCUUCUUAAGUCGGGGGUGAAAUCCUGGAGCUCAACUCCAGAACUGCCUUCGAUACUGGAGAGCUCGAGUCCGGAAGAGGUGAGUGGAACUGCGAGUGUAGAGGUGAAAUUCGUAGAUAUUCGCAAGAACACCAGUGGCGAAGGCGGCUCACUGGUCCGGUACUGACGCUGAGGUGCGAAAGCGUGGGGAGCAAACAGG
rnacentral:rRNA from 1 species